rnacentral:lncRNA from 1 species
CACUUUUCCUGCCCAGAUGCUGGACCCAUGAUUGUGGGGGACAGAAAUGGUGGGUUGGGCCCUGCAGGUGGCCUUACUUAGGCGCUGACACUGUGUAAAGUGAUACUAAUGGAGGCUGCCUACAAGGGACGGUGACAACUGACAGGAUUGUGUCUGCAUUUAUAUAAACCCUGCCUCUUGCUGAGGCUUUCAGUCCCUACUUGCAGAGCAAGGUACUGCUGAUUACUCUGCUUCCCCUCAUCCCACACUUGCCAGGACAUUUCGUUGGAAGACCAGGUCCAUUUCCAUAGGCUGGAUGCUGGCUUUUCCUCUCAACAUUGGUGCCUCCCCAUCAGCCCCAUCUUGCCUUCCUCAUUCACCAGUGUGCUUUGGCAGCCACGGACCAUUUCUCCUGCCACCAUCCUGAAAUCCCUUCUUUCAGCAUCAGUGCUACCAUGGAAUGCUACAGCUGCUUAGAUUUCCCACUGCCACCUACGGUCUGAGGUCAGAGCACCUGCAAAGGAGAGGAUGGAGAGAACAUUGUGGGCUUCUGCCGCUGUAAGUACAACUCUGAGCCAAGAACGGUUCCAAGUGCUCAGAGGGCCAUGUUCCACUCACUGUGAAUAUAGCUCAUAGGCGUCUUUGAUGAUGAUGGCCAGGAAGCUGGCAGAGUGCUUUUUGAAGAGGCCACCAGCUCUCAGGGGUCUGUUGGAUGUGUAUUCGUUCAGCAGCCACCCAUUGAGGACCUACUAUGUGCUGUGCCUGACCACAUGUGCUGCAAAAUUCCUGGCUGGAAUAGGAGCCAGGAAAACAUAGAGAGGUAGGGUCCAGUCCUUUCCAAUCAAAACAAAUCCUGAAAGAGUGUUUGAGGAACCAGUUAAUGUGGAGUUGGAGAGAGCAUGGUCCAAAAUGGUGGUUUUUCCAGUUGUGUUUUGAGGGGCCAGAGAGCCCUGUUCUGCCCCUGCAGAGCUGUUAGAGGAGGGAGAAACACAGCUUUCAUGCCUGCUCCAGUCAAAGUGGCUCAUUUUGUCAGUUUCAUGUAUUAGCAUUCUUAGUAGAAUUUCAUUUAGAGAAAGAAGAGGUCUAGGGAAAGUAACAAAAAUUUUAUUGAGCAGUGUGCUCUGAGGCCUGUGUUUAGUUUUUAACUCUGGAUAUGAGAGACUUAAUGAGCUCUAACCUGGGGACUGGGUUAGCACUGAAUUUCUGGGGCCCAAGGAUAAAACCUUAGUUUUAUACAUUGACUAACCAACCUGGCGGUUUGCCUGGGCCAACCCUUGUUUACAUCUGUGGUCUUUUAGGGUAAUUAAUACUAGUGCUGCCUUAACUCUCAAAAGUAUCACAGUUUGUGUAAUAAAUUACAUGAGCACCCUGUGUGUGAGGACAGAGCUAAGUGAAUGGUUGCCCGCCUUGCCUGAUAAGCUGAUUAACCAGAAUGAGGGCCUGAAUCUAUUGGGGCCCUCACCAGAGAACGAAGGAACAAGGUCAUUCAAGGUUACCAGCAUCCAAGGCCACCAUCUUCAUUACAUUGUGAAACUCUGAAAAUAGAUCAGGACCAAAUACUUUCCAGGCUUUGACCACUGUCACCUGGAACCACCAACACACAAGCCAACUGGUAUAUUUUUGUUUUACCCGUUAUAUUUGGACCUAUAAUUAGCUCUCUCAUUGCCUUUCAAUUCCUCUUUCAUUCUCUUCUUUUAAAAAUUUGAUUCCCCAUUGGCCAUGAGACUGAAGCUAACCUCUCAUAAACCCAAAGAGUAACAGGUAUAUUGGUAUAUGAUUAACCACAUGAAAAGGCUCAAUGUGCAUACUGUAUUUAUUAAGCCCUGAAGGCAUUUAAUAAAAUACUAACAUUGUGUUUUGAAUUAUGAUCUUUGUCUGCUUUGCUAGAGCAAAAUGUAACAGAACUAACAUUUAAAAUCCUUUGCAUAUUUUGGACAACAUUACACCAAAUGUUGAUUUUGUACAGAAUUCUGGCUUUCUAUUUAAAAAGUAAAACUCCAAGUAUAUAGCAAACCAAGUUGUGAAUAUUACUUUGUGCUUUAGUGAAAAGGCAGCUUACCUGAAAGUAUCAUGUUGUAACCUAUAUUUUGUUAAUUUAAGCAAAUAAAGACAUGUUGAAAAAA